AAAUUGAAGAGUUUGAUCAUGGCUCAGAUUGAACGCUGGCGGCAGGCCUAACACAUGCAAGUCGAACGGUAACAGGAAGCAGCUUGCUGCUUUGCUGACGAGUGGCGGACGGGUGAGUAAUGUCUGGGAAACUGCCCGAUGGAGGGGGAUAACUACUGGAAACGGUAGCUAAUACCGCAUAACGUCGCAAGACCAAAGAGGGGGACCUUCGGGCCUCUUGCCAUCGGAUGUGCCCAGAUGGGAUUAGCUUGUUGGUGAGGUAACGGCUCACCAAGGCGACGAUCCCUAGCUGGUCUGAGAGGAUGACCAGCCACACUGGAACUGAGACACGGUCCAGACUCCUACGGGAGGCAGCAGUGGGGAAUAUUGCACAAUGGGCGCAAGCCUGAUGCAGCCAUGCCGCGUGUAUGAAGAAGGCCUUCGGGUUGUAAAGUACUUUCAGCGGGGAGGAAGGGAGUAAAGUUAAUACCUUUACUCAUUGACGUUACCCGCAGAAGAAGCACCGGCUAACUCCGUGCCAGCAGCCGCGGUAAUACGGAGGGUGCAAGCGUUAAUCGGAAUUACUGGGCGUAAAGCGCACGCAGGCGGUUUGUUAAGUCAGAUGUGAAAUCCCCGGGCUCAACCUGGGAACUGCAUCUGAUACUGGCAAGCUUGAGUCUCGUAGAGGGGGGUAGAAUUCCAGGUGUAGCGGUGAAAUGCGUAGAGAUCUGGAGGAAUACCGGUGGCGAAGGCGGCCCCCUGGACGAAGACUGACGCUCAGGUGCGAAAGCGUGGGGAGCAAACAGGAUUAGAUACCCUGGUAGUCCACGCCGUAAACGAUGUCGACUUGGAGGUUGUGCCCUUGAGGCGUGGCUUCCGGAGCUAACGCGUUAAGUCGACCGCCUGGGGAGUACGGCCGCAAGGUUAAAACUCAAAUGAAUUGACGGGGGCCCGCACAAGCGGUGGAGCAUGUGGUUUAAUUCGAUGCAACGCGAAGAACCUUACCUGGUCUUGACAUCCACGGAAGUUUUCAGAGAUGAGAAUGUGCCUUCGGGAACCGUGAGACAGGUGCUGCAUGGCUGUCGUCAGCUCGUGUUGUGAAAUGUUGGGUUAAGUCCCGCAACGAGCGCAACCCUUAUCCUUUGUUGCCAGCGGUCCGGCCGGGAACUCAAAGGAGACUGCCAGUGAUAAACUGGAGGAAGGUGGGGAUGACGUCAAGUCAUCAUGGCCCUUACGACCAGGGCUACACACGUGCUACAAUGGCGCAUACAAAGAGAAGCGACCUCGCGAGAGCAAGCGGACCUCAUAAAGUGCGUCGUAGUCCGGAUUGGAGUCUGCAACUCGACUCCAUGAAGUCGGAAUCGCUAGUAAUCGUGGAUCAGAAUGCCACGGUGAAUACGUUCCCGGGCCUUGUACACACCGCCCGUCACACCAUGGGAGUGGGUUGCAAAAGAAGUAGGUAGCUUAACCUUCGGGAGGGCGCUUACCACUUUGUGAUUCAUGACUGGGGUGAAGUCGUAACAAGGUAACCGUAGGGGAACCUGCGGUUGGAUCACCUCCUUA
rnacentral:rRNA from 1 species